rnacentral:sRNA from 1 species
UGAUGCCAGGGUCAAAAGGUCUAAAACCACAUGAGCUUGCUCAUAAGUGGUUGAAAGACCUUGGGACCCGCCCCGAUAUGAGCAUCA